GCCUGGAUGGCUCAGUCGGUUGAGUGUCUGACUUCGGCUCAGGUCAUCAUCUCAUGGUUCAUGGGGUUGAGCCCCACUUCAGGCU
rnacentral:tRNA from 1 species